UACGUAGGGUGCGAGCGUUAAUCGGAAUUACUGGGCGUAAAGCGUGCGCAGGCGGCGCGUUAAGACAGAUGUGAAAGCCCCCGAGCUUAACUUGGGAAUUGCGCUUGUGACUGGCGUGCUGGAGUGUGGCAGAGGGAGGUGGAAUUCCACGUGUAGCAGUGAAAUGCGUAGAGAUGUGGAGGAACACCGAUGGCGAAGGCAGCCUCCUGGGCCAGCACUGACGCUCAUGCACGAAAGCGUGGGGAGCAAACAGG
rnacentral:rRNA from 1 species